GACGAACGCUGGCGGCGUGCCUAAUACAUGCAAGUUGAGCGCUGAAGGUUGGUACUUGUACCGACUGGAUGAGCAGCGAACGGGUGAGUAACGCGUGGGGAAUCUGCCUUUGAGCGGGGGACAACAUUUGGAAACGAAUGCUAAUACCGCAUAAAAACUUUAAACACAAGUUUUAAGUUUGAAAGAUGCAAUUGCAUCACUCAAAGAUGAUCCCGCGUUGUAUUAGCUAGUUGGUGAGGUAAAGGCCCACCAAGGCGAUGAUACAUAGCCGACCUGAGAGGGUGAUCGGCCACAUUGGGACUGAGACACGGCCCAAACUCCUACGGGAGGCAGCAGUAGGGAAUCUUCGGCAAUGGACGAAAGUCUGACUGAGCAACGCCGCGUGAGUGAAGAAGGUUUUCGGAUCGUAAAACUCUGUUGGUAGAGAAGAACGUUGGUGAGAGUGGAAAGCUCAUCAAGUGACGGUAACUACCCAGAAAGGGACGGCUAACUACGUG
rnacentral:rRNA from 1 species